rnacentral:rRNA from 1 species
AUUGAACGCUGGCGGCAGGCUUAACACAUGCAAGUCGAGCGGAGAUGAGGUGCUUGCACCUUAUCUUAGCGGCGGACGGGUGAGUAAUGCUUAGGAAUCUGCCUAUUAGUGGGGGACAACAUUCCGAAAGGAAUGCUAAUACCGCAUACGCCCUACGGGGGAAAGCAGGGGAUCUUCGGACCUUGCGCUAAUAGAUGAGCCUAAGUCGGAUUAGCUAGUGGGUGGGGUAAAGGCCUACCAAGGCGACGAUCUGUAGCGGGUCUGAGAGGAUGACCCGCCACACUGGGACGGAGACACGGCCCAGACUCCUACGGGAGGCAGCAGUGGGGAAUAUUGGACAAUGGGCGGAAGCCUGAUCCAGCCAUGCCGCGUGUGUGAAGAAGGCCUUUUGGUUGUAAAGCACUUUAAGCGAGGAGGAGGCUACCUGGAUUAAUACUCUAGGAUAGUGGACGUUACUCGCAGAAUAAGCACCGGCUAACUCUGUGCCAGCCGCCGCUGUAAAAC